rnacentral:rRNA from 1 species
CAGUCGCCACGGUAAUACGUAGGGUCCGAGCGUUGUCCGGAAUUAUUGGGCGUAAAGGGCUCGUAGGCGGUUUGUUGCGUCGGGAGUGAAAACCCAGGGCUUAACUUUGGGCUUGCUUUCGAUACGGGCAGACUUGAGGCAUUGAGGGGAGAACGGAAUUCCUGGUGUAGCGGUGAAAUGCGCAGAUAUCAGGAGGAACACCGGUGGCGAAGGCGGUUCUCUGGCAAUGUUCUGACGCUGAGGAGCGAAAGUGUGGGGAGCGAACAGGAUUAGAUACCCCGGUAGUCCCUGUCUCUUAUAU